GAAGUGCGAUAAGCAAUGCGAAUUGCAGAAUUCCGCGAAUCAUCAGAUCUUUGAACGCAAAUGGCGCUGGAGGGAUAUCCUUCCAGCAUGUCUGUUUCAGUGUCUGAGAGGUUUCAUACAAAUCUUAAUGUGAUUGAAGGGAGAUCUUGAUUGAUUUAUUUCAUUCAUUAACUCUCUUCUCUCAUGAAAGAUGUGUGAGUGGAUCUUUCGAUCCAAUGAAGUGGUCACAUCACUCGUAUGUGAUUUCAUUGGGAAAUCAUCGAAUUAUCCGCAUACUCACUGUAUCUAUAUUGUUGUGUAAAAAGCAACAAAAAACUUCCAUACCCUGCAUCUGAGAUAGGCAAGAUCACCCGCUGAACUUAA
rnacentral:misc_RNA from 1 species